AAAAGGACUGGGCCGGAGCUGGAGCUCUGCAACCCUGACGGAAGUACUGCGCUUAUCCACACGGACUGAAUUUCAUCGAACCACCUGACAAUUUUAAGAAGUCCGCAAAAUGAAUUCCUGGAAAGCCUUCUUUAUGUUUGGCACGCUUUUGGUGAUGGCGGUCAUGAUGAACAUGGCAUGCGCAGCCUACAGGAAGCCACCUUUCAACGGCAGCAUAUUCGGCAAGAGGUCCAGGGCAGACCUGAACAACGCAGAUGUGAAAUACGCAAUGUGUGAAGCUGUCUGGGAUACGUGUACGCAGUGGUUUCCCAUCACCCAGGAUGGCGCGCAGUAGCGACAAAUAAAGACGAAAUAGGGCCACAUGUUUGGCGUAGAACCAUCUCCACUCUUCCCUGACUCCCAGUAGACUCCCUGGAGACGAUCGCUCUGUGGCCUCGUGAACCCGCACAGUUCUUCUUGAGAAGCAAGACUUCUCCCUGGAGGCACCUCCAUGUCAACAAAACUAGUUAGAAUGUAGAGCCAAGGAAAUAAAGAAAAAAGCAUUUA